UACGUAGGGGGCAAGCGUUGUCCGGAUUCAUUGGGCGUAAAGGGUGCGUAGGCGGCGCGGUAAGUCGGGUGUGAAAUCUUGGAGCUUAACUCCGAAACUGCAUUCGAUACUGCCGUGCUUGAGGACUGGAGAGGAGACUGGAAUUUACGGUGUAGCGGUGAAAUGCGUAGAUAUCGUAAGGAAGACCAGUGGCGAAGGCGGGGUCUCUGGACAGUUCCUGACGCUGAGGCACGAAGGCCAGGGGAGCAAACGGG
rnacentral:rRNA from 1 species